CUGAGAACCCCUGUCCCUGGACACAGCCACACUGCUCUGUCUCUACACCAUAAGGCACAAGGAAGGAACUGGAUGUAAAAGCUUGCAUGUAGCCAAAAAUGAGGGCUUGGGUGGGGAGGGGGUGCAAUACAAACAGGAAGUGAGUGUGUGGAGUGAAGGAGCAAGAAGAAUGAGUAGUGGGUACAACAGAGAAUGAGCAAAGGCCAAACUUUUUUUUUUAAUAGCCCAAGAAGCUUUGCUGGGAACUGACUGACUCUAGUGAACAACCAGGAGGAGCUUCCUCGGGGGGAGGGGGGGGGGCAGCCACAGGAGAAAAGCGCACCCGACAGGGCUGGGACAGAGAAGUUAGAGAAAAUAGUACAGAGGACAGGAGAGAGAAGUUAGGAAGCUCUCAGGGCCCUUCUUUGGGAGCAGAUGUGAGGUUUGUAGCAGCCCUAUAAAACCAUAGGCCAACUAGUCAUAAAAUUAUAUUAUGAUAUUAUAAUGAUGUGGCUGAAGAAAGCAUCAGUAACAAUGUGUUGCCUGUGGACAGUUUCCAUUUUAAUUCGGUAAUGAUGUGAUUGAAAUUAGAAGUGUGCCAUGAGGCCACAGAAAGUGUGUACUUUUCUUAAAGUAACCUCAUAACAAUUUCCUGAUCCAAAGUAAACUCAAGCAUGAAAAAAUUGGUCAAGGAAAAGGGGAAUGUUCACUUGGGUGGGUAAGCUCUCAGAACGGGAAGUCAAGGGAGACAAGAGAUGUGAGGGAGAGGCCCAGGGUGCCUCCUUCACACAGAGAGUUCUGGGGAUUCCUCAGAGACAAAUUCAUCUGACCAAGAAAUUUACCCUUGAGUCUUUGGCCUUUCCUUUUUCUUCUUUCUGACACCCUUUCUCUGGUUAACAUUUUCAGCGCGACUCAAGCCAAGUCAGCUAUUUAUAGAGCAAGAACAAUUUUACCACAGGGUAUGGUGUUUAAUUUGAAGAGACGUCAAAGAGUGAGGGGCAGAUGGCUGAGCAGGCAGUGCCUCUCAAUGACCUUGAUGGGGGCACCCAAGCCCACUGCCUCAUCCUGAGUUUUGCAGAUCCAGAAAUGUCAUCUGAUGAAUGAAAUCUUGAACUGACCAAGCUUUAAGAGGAAAAGGAUAAAUUGAUAAGGCAGUCUCUGGUCUUCAAAAUGGGCUACACCGUGGGCCCUCCUGGGUCUCCAGCUUGCUGACUGCAGAUCUUGGGAUUUAUCAGCCUCCAUAACCAUGUGAGAGCACGGCAAGAAGGUGACCAUCCACAAGCCAGGAGGAAGGCCCUCACCAAGAACCAAAUUCGCUGCCACCAUGAUCUUGGACUUUCCACCCUCUAGAACUAUGAGAAAUCAAUGUCUGUUAUUUAAGUUUA